rnacentral:rRNA from 1 species
UACGUAGGGUGCAAGCGUUGUCCGGAAUUAUUGGGCGUAAAGAGCUCGUAGGCGGUUUGUCGCGUCUGCUGUGAAAACGCGAGGCUCAACCUCGCGCCUGCAGUGGGUACGGGCAGACUGGAGUGCGGUAGGGGAGAUUGGAAUUCCCGGUGUAGCGGUGAAAUGCGCAGAUAUCAGGAGGAACACCGGUGGCGAAGGCGGGUCUCUGGGCCGAUACUGACGCUGAGGAGCGAAAGCGUGGGGAGCGAACAGG